UUGGCCUCUAAGUUAACGAAGCUCGGCGGGUGCGUGUGCUGAGCUCUUGGAGUGUAAAGAAUUCACCAGUUCACACUGAAAGGAGCUUGAAAUUCUAAGUCCAGCAGAAGUCAGUUCUGUGAAACUGAAGCUUUGCAUCCUCUGAUGAAAAUCUCCCCGUCUCUUCCGAUGCCUCCUUGUCCCUGGUGACCAACACUCAACUCCCCUUCAAAGUCCGUGGAUUGAGAGUGCUGAGGGAAGCGGCAAAGGGUCAGUGGUAGAGCCAAGUUGAAGAGAGUGGGUCAUCCUGGUGAGCGCUGCAUCCCUUGGAGCCUGUACUGUGGGUGGUUGUGAGCCAUCAGGUGAGUUCUGGGAACUGA